GGAAGGUGUACGUAAUAAAUAGACUGUCAUUUAUUCAAUAAUUCAUUCGCUUCCGAGUCUAUGCGGGUAUCGGAUAGAUAUAUUAGAAGGAAUUCAUCAAAGGCGUUAUACUCAGAAGCACUAGAACAUCAUUCAUUCGAAUUUUGAUAUUUCUGUGAUGGAUGGGAAGACGUUUUUACGACUAUGUUUCUGGAUCAUUCUUGCCAGGUGUUGCCAUACUUUGAACCUGACAUUUUACUGUUCAGACGUCCACAGCUAUGAACAGCAUGACUUGUAUGAAAACGGAAUUAGACUCGACAUGAAAACAGCCAUCGUCUUUCAAACAAAAGGCAUGCAUGACGCCCACGUGUUGUUACAAAAAAAUCAUAGUGAUGUUGUCAACGAUAUCGUUGAAAUUGUGCUUGGUGGUUGGAGUAAUACCCGGUCAGUUAUGAGGAACCAAAUAUUUGGUCAAGCUUUAUCAACAUAUUACGGUCCAGUUCUAAACAACGAGUAUCAGUGGUUUUGGAUUUCCUGGGAUGGUGGUUGUGUUCAGGUAGGAAACGGAAGUAAGAUCGGUUCGAACAGAAUGCUGAAUUGGUGUGGCCUAAAUCAUUCAAUUACUGCAAUGAGUAUUAGCUAUGGUUUUGGAAGUGAUGGCUAUUUCAAAUUACCUAAGAUGGGUUGUGGAACACCCGAGGAGAUUGCUCAUGGUAACAUGUCUUAUUCUGGAAUCGGUGAAGGAGAUAUGGUAACUUACACGUGCAAUGCCGCUUACAUCAUCACGAGCGAUUCCGCCACCCGUACAUGUAUCAGUGGUCAAUGGUCCGGAAGCCCGCCUACUUGCGCAGAUUGCGGUAACUUGACUGAUCCACAACACGGCGAUGUUACCCAAACAGGAACGACUCUCAAUGAAACGGCGACAUACGUUUGUUAUGAGUAUUUUGCCCUGCAGGGAAACUCAUCACGUAUAUGUGAGGGUAAUGGUACAUGGAGUGGUAGUGAACCUAACUGUGUUUUUAUAGACCAGACAUUUUACUGUCCAGACAACUACAACUAUGAACUGAUUGACUUGUAUGCAAACGGGAUGAGGCUCGACUCCAAAACAGCCAUCGUCUUUCAAGCAAAAGGCAAUACUGACGCCCACGUGUUGUUACAAAAAAAUCGUAGUGAUUUUGACAACGAUAUCGUUGAAAUUGUGCUUGGUGGUUGGGGUAAUACCCAAUCAGUUAUAAGGAACCAAAAACAAGGUUCACAUUUAUCAACAUAUGCCGGUGCCGUUCUUACCACCAACUAUCGAUGGUUUUGGAUUUCCUGGGAUGGAGGUUGUGUUCAGGUAGGAAACGGAAGUAAGAUCGGUUCGAACAUAAUGAUGAAUUGGUGUGGCCUAAAUCAUUCAGUCGCUGCAAUGAGUAUUAGCUAUGGUUUUGGAAGUGAUGGCUAUUUCAAAUUACCUAAGAUGGGUUGCGGAACACCCGAGGAGAUUGCUCAUGGUAACACCUCUUAUUCUGGGAUCGGUGAAGGAGAUAUGGUAACUUACACGUGCAAUGCUGCUUACAUCAUCACGAGCGAUCCCGCCACCCGUACAUGUAUCGGUGAUCAGUGGUCCGGAAGCCCGCCUACUUGCGCAGAGAUUAUUUGCAAUCCCGACAACAGUAUUGAUGUAUUCAAUCUUCCCGCGGAUUAUUAUUACCUUGCUAUGCAGGAGAACGCAACAGGAGGAUCUGAUAUACAGUGUAAUGUUGCAGAUAUCAACUCAAACGCUGUGACAAUCACUGGUUGCUCUAAAGAUUUACCUAUUCUGCUCACCUUUGGAACCUACAGUGGAAUUGAAUUUUACACCAUGCAUGGAGGAAAAUCUAUGGUUACUGUAACGAUAGAAUGUAGCGAAAUACCGGAGACCGGCAACGUGGGUGCAAUAAACAACACGUUCAAUGCAAAUUUGACAGACGUUGACAAGAAAAACAUUAAGCCAACAUUUCAAGUGACAGCUUCUUUGAAUCUAACAUCGGUCAUAGUUGGUAACCCUGUCGCUUGGACCAUCACCUUUCCAAUGGAAUAUAUCCUGGAAGUUACUAGCUGUGUAGGGUAUCCUGGAACUGAUGACCAGUCUUCUACUUCAGUCAGUUUGAUUUCCAGUGGAGGGUGCAGUUCUACCAGUCAUCUCAUCACUCAUUUUUCAGACGGUUUGAACGGUACAGCCACUGCGACACUAUCAGCAUUCAAGUUUCACGGCUAUGACAACGUUUUCCUGACAUGUGCCGUGAAAACCUGUCCGUCUUGGUCAUCGUAUUGUGAUCAGAGCAAAAAGAAGUGCCGAACAGAUCCGUGAAAAUGCCGCUGAAGAGACACGUAUGGCUACCGUGCACAAUGUGUUAAAGGUUAUUGAUCCAGUCUCAGACGCAUGUAUUCCAAGCGGGAUUAACCUGGUAUUGACCUUGACAUUCAUCCACUUUCAUUUGUAAUGACGAAAUGGAGACGUUUUUCGGGACAGCAAAUGGACUGAUGUUCUAUCACAUGGACAAAAUAAUGAUAUUUGAUCGACGUACGCUCAUGUUAAAAUGUGUUACUGUUCUUGAAAAACAAAAACAAAUAUAAGAAUAAUUAGAAUAUGCUUAUUAGCUAGUUUUUCAAGUGUCCGUCCAUUGCCUAUCAGAGCUAUGUUUUGUAUAUAAUAUUUAUAUUUUUGAAGACAGAUUAUUUUCUAUAUAUUUUCACAUACAAUACAUUUAUAUUUUCACAUACAAUAAAUUUAUA
rnacentral:misc_RNA from 1 species